rnacentral:tRNA from 21 species
CGGGAUGUGGCGCAGCUUGGUAGCGCACCUCGCUUGGGACGAGGGGGUCGCACGUUCAAAUCGUGUCAUCCCGACCA